UGGGGAAUAUUGCGCAAUGGGCGAAAGCCUGACGCAGCAACGCCGCGUGGGUGAUGAAGGCCCUUGGGUCGUAAAGCCCUGUCAGGAGGGAAGAAUGAGCGGGUGGUUAAUACCCAUCCGAAGUGACGGUACCUCCAAAGGAAGCACCGGCUAACUCCGUGCCAGCAGCCGCGGUAAUACGGAGGGUGCAAGCGUUGUUCGGAAUCAUUGGGCGUAAAGGGUGCGUAGGCGGUCCUGUAGGUCGGGUGUG
rnacentral:rRNA from 1 species